CACAAGUUUUUUAAAAGUCUUUUUACAUUGUGUAAAAUACCUUACAUAUCAUAUUUUAUAUAAAAAUAGUGGAUUAAAGAUGAAUAUUUAAAUCAUUUAAAGAAAAACUAUAGUGUGGACCAGAAUGUUUUGGUUUGUAUAGCCAAAAGACAAUAUGUUUGUAUGAAUGAAAUUCCAUCAAGUUGAAUAAAGAAUGGUUGGCGGAUGUGUAUUUGAUUCACGUGGAUUAAAACGAUGAUUUAUUUUAGCCGUUUUUUAAUAUAAUUUAACUAAGAAAUGCCACCCUUCCCUAACCCCGUGAAUCAAAUACACCUCCGCCGAAUGGUUUAGUCCAUUAUUCGAAUCGAAAUGUGAAAUUUACAGUAAAAAAUUAAAAUAUAAUACAACAGUUGAUUGGUAUGAUUUAAACUAAAAUGUGAUGAAACUACAGGUGUUAUAACCUAUUAUAUACAAAUGAUUAUUACAUAUAUUUAUAAAAGCAGCAUUAAAGACCAUUUAAUCUUUAUCAAAUCUUAUGUAAAGUAUUUAUUGUAUUCUUUUUGUUAGGGAUCGGUAUAAUUACAUCAGGUAAAGUAAAAACAUAUAUAAACUGGAUUUCAGGUGUUAACAUUACUCCAUAGCAGAUGCAGUUACCUGAUGUUCUUAAAUAAAAAUACACAAUGCACAAAGAUAGAAUUUAGACUAUUUGAAGGUUGCACUAUAUUGAUUAGAUCGUGGAAAUUGUAUCAAAUCAAAAUGAGUCUGAUAACAAAAAGCGAUAAAGAUACAUAUGAAUUUGAUAUUGGUGAUGAAAAUAACGAUAUCAUGUUUUUAUUAAGAUCGUUUUAAAAAUAACUUUAAUUUUGUAUAAGUUAUUGUUCUAAAAAUGUAUAAUUUAUUUUUUUGGU